UUAUUAUAUAUAAUAUUUUAUUUUUAUAUAAAAAUAUUAUUAUAUAAUAUUUUAUUUAUAAAUUUGUAAUUAUUUAUUAAUAUUUCUAAAUAUAUAACUCUUCUAUAUUAUUAAUAUAUGUUUAUUAUAAUUUUAUAUAUAUUUAAUCUAUAUAUAAAAAUUAUAAUAAUAAUAUACAUAGCAUAUUAAUUAUUAUAUUUUUAUUAUAUAGCCGAAUUUUUUAUCCGAAAUUUUUAAUUGGUGAACGUAUAAUAUCCUUAUAAAUCACGUAAUCGAAUAAUUACUAAAUCCGUUUUUUAGCCGUAUUUUUCAACGAAUUUAAAAAUUAAAAGACGAAUUUUAUCCGAAUUAUACCCGUACCGAAUUUUUGUCGAAUCCGAAUUAACUAACAGUCCAUUCAUACUAGUUAAGUCCGGCUUAGGUGAAGACACUACAACAAAAACGGUCUAUAGCGACACUUUUAAGUGUAGGUACAUAUCAAAAAAGUGCUGCUAGCUAAAAUUACCGACACUUUUAAAACGUGUUGCUAUAUGUGGGGUCGCUAGGUAUAUAGUGACAGUUAAAGAGUGUCUCUAUAACCUAAAAGAGUGCUGUUAAUUUACCAACAACUUAUUUAAGCAUUUAGCAACCGCCGAAACUCUAUCUCGUUGGCUGCGGUGGCGGAGGAGGACGACAGGAAUGACUCUUCGUCUAGAAUUUCAGUAGAUUGAGUGAAGAGAGAAGAAAAUAUGGUAAUCGAUUUUUCUUUUUUUUUCUUUUCUGUUUGUAAUCGGGUCAAAUGGACUGGGUGUGGUGGGUUGAGUAGAGUAAUCUUUUAUUUUUGGUUGGAUUGGGUUUUAUAUUUAGACAUUAGUAGAUGUUUUUUUAAGUUUUAGCAUAAAUGGGACACUUACUAAAAAGUGUCCCAAACAUGUGUCCUAACCUAAUUCUGUUGUAAUGAGAAAACUUUAACAACCUACUCCACAAA
rnacentral:lncRNA from 1 species